rnacentral:sRNA from 1 species
AACAAAUUGGUAAUCGGUGGUUAAAUAAAUAUGCCCAAAGUCCCACAGCUAGAAAGUAGCAGGGCUGGAAUUUGAACCCAGUCCAAUAAAACCUCAAAACCGGUGCACUUUCUACCGUAUCCUGAGGCUUCUUUACUUUGGGGCCCUGGUUAGCCUUAGCAGCCUAGUUUUCUACAUCCUUCAUGCCAGUUGAAUGAAACUACUGACAUGCUCCACAUUCUUCUUUCUCCCAUGCUUUUGUUCAUUCAGUUACCUCCUCCUAAAAUGUCUGCAUUUACCCAGAUAAUCUUCCAAUGGAAAUCCAUGGUUCAAGUGCCACCUCUUCAGGAAAGCCAUCUGACUUCAAUCAGGAAGCCAGAGAGCUCCGUCUGCAGCAGCUCUUUCAGCUCCUUCUUGCUCAGCUUGUACUUGUCCCCCUCUUUGCCCGAGUGGGCGUGGAACACGUUGAUGAGGGUCUCCAUCGCCGUCUCCAGCUCAGAGCCCAUUGCAGCAGUGCACCUACCCACCCCCAUCAUGGAAGUGAGCUGAGGACCAGGCCCGGAGUACCUGGGGUCUAGGCAGCAGUGGAUGGUGCAGGGGAAAGAGGUGGGAAGGAGGUCCUGGGAGGGACACUGGAUGUCUUACCCCAAGCUGGGCCUUGCAGUACCUGUGGCUGGCUGUGCUAGUUGAGCCGGAAUCGACCACGGAAAUUUGACACCUCCGGGCUUGGAAGCAGCUCUCUCCUCCUUCCCCCCUGCUUAUAAACCUCAGCCCUGAGGCUCCAGCUCACUCUACCCCAUCUCCUUGCCGGGUGAGUCUCUUGGCUGACCCUGGAGGGAGGCUGGAGAUCAUUUUUUCUUCCUGGGCUCCCAGGUCCCUCCCCCAGAGCCAGCUCAGACAGGAAUUCAGGAAGGAGCUUUGGAUGAUCGAGCAACAGUGCGUGCAGGAGUGCGUGACGGGGUGGACAGAAAAGAGAAUGCCUCUUCCAGCCCCACCCGCCGCACCCCAGGGGGUUGUGAGUGCCUGUACUAAACCCGUCCUGGAGCAGGGAGUCAGAGACGCCCCGUUCCAGGACGCUUGUCACCGGGAGACAGGAGCGGGGAGGAUCUGUGGGGUCCUGGGUUCAGCACUCUGCCCUGCUGCCGCUGAGGAGAGGUAAGGGUGGAGCGGGGCAGAGAAAAUGGGUCUGUUCAGACGGAGCCAGCUCUGACCACAGGGGACAUUUGCCAGACCCUGUGCUUCUCUGCUGGGAGGAGCGGUUAGAGUGUGUGUGGGCGGAUGCGAGUGGCCGGAGACCAGGGCCCAACAUAAACAAGCUUUGGAGACAAACAAUCUUAUGACCUGUGAGGCUGGGUGAGACAAGAAGGGAUUCUUGAGACAGACACGCCACAGAGGGGCCACCAGACUUGACGGACUCCAAGAAGGACCCUCAACUGAAGACCUCCUCUCAAGUAGAGGGGUCUCCAGAUCGAGGGAUCACCACAGAGGGGUCCCUAAGCCACAGACAUUUAAAAAGGACCCCGGAUUGUGAGACCUACAGAAGAGGGGGUUUCUGGAGCUGAAUCUCCUGCCCCCACCAAAACUGAGAUGCUGUUGCCUGGUCUGCUGCCCCAAGCUCAACCCCUGUCCUCUCCCUCUUUCCCCAUAUGCCCCCUCCAGGCUGAGACUGAUGUGAUAACACCAAGGCAGGGACCUUCUGAACCAUUCCUGCAUCUUGGGGCUCCCUGACUCUCCCUCUCUGCUCCUUCUCUCUUCCACAGGUCAGCCCUGACAAAGGUCAGCUAGCCCCUUGAGGACAUCAGCUUUGGCCUCAGGGUCCUAAUGGCAGCAGAACCACUGACAGAGCUAGAGGAGUCCAUUGAGACCGUGGUCACCACCUUCUUCACCUUUGCAAGGCAGGAGGGCCGGAAGGAUAGCCUUAGCGUCAACGAGUUCAAAGAGCUGGUUACCCAGCAGUUGCCCCAUCUGCUCAAGGAUGUGGGCUCUCUUGAUGAGAAGAUGAAGAGCUUGGAUGUGAAUCAGGACUCGGAGCUCAAGUUCAAUGAGUACUGGAGAUUGAUUGGGGAGCUGGCCAAGGAAAUCAGGAAGAAGAAAGACCUGAAGAUCAGGAAGAAGUAAAGCCGCCUGGCUGAGAUGGGGUGGGCAGGGCAGAGCUGGUCAGGGCCGAGCAGAACCGCACUCUUCCCAAAUAAAGCUUCCUCCUUG